CCUACGGGUGGCAGCAGUAGGGAAUCUUUCACAAUGGGCGUAAGCCUGAUGGAGCAACGCCGCGUGCAGGAUGAAGGCCUUCUGGUUUGUAACUGCUUUUUUUAGCGGGAAAUAUGAUGGUAACUUAUGAGUUAGGAUCGGCUAACUACGUGCCAGCAGCCGCGGUCAUACGUAGGAUCCGAGCAUUAUCCGGAGUGACUGGGGGUAAAGAGUUGCGUAGGUGGCAUAAUAAGUAGCUAGUGAAAUCUGGUGGCUCAACCAUUCAGACUAUUAGCUAAACUGUUAAGCUCGAGACCGUUAGAGGCAUCUGGAAUUUCUAGUGUAGGAGUGAAAUGCGUAGAUAUUAGAAAGAACACCGAUAGCGUAGGCAGGAUGCUGGGACGGUUCUGACACUAAGGCACGAAAGCGUAGGUAGCAAACGGGAUUAGAUACCCGGGUAGUC
rnacentral:rRNA from 1 species